rnacentral:tRNA from 1 species
UAGCUCAGUGGUUUGAGCGCGGUGCUGGCAGCACCGAGGUUGUGGUUUCGAUUCCCGC